CAUAGUGAGGUCUAGGGGAUGCCGUGGUGGGCUCUACCUACCAAGGGCUCCUGUAAGACAUCAGUGACCACCCCCUCUGCCAGAAAGCCCACACCUCCAGCCUGGCAGGUGCCCCUAGCUGCUGUGACCCCCUCCUAUGGAGGAUCUCUCAGCUGCCCUCCCUCACAACCUUCCUGCUCCUACCCCACCCUGCUUCUUUCACUAGGAUGGGCACUGCCCAUUAUGAUAUCACCUGGCUCAGCCCCAUCCCUGGGGAGGUGAGGAGAUUCAAUUCCCUUCCUACCCUCAGCCUCUUCCUGCCUCGAGCCUCUCAAAACAGUCCAAUUUCCAAGAGUUCAGAGGGUCCCUGGAGUUCAUCUAUGCCAAACUUCUCACUUUGAUGAAGAGAAAUGGAGGUUCUGAGACAUCAAGUGACUUGUCCAGGGUCAUGCAGCAGCAUUGGAUGGGUCCCUUCACUGGAUCCAGAGAACUAACUGGCCAAACCAGGCCAGACUUCAAGACUAUAGCCAAUGGACAAGAGUUCUCACGAGAACGUCUUCAUUCCACAGAUGAAUCCUAAAGAGUGUCUCCUGAAAGGUUGGCUGGGUGUGGUAGACCUGGGCCCGUACAUGCCUCUCUGUGGCCAAAACAGCCUUGAGGUGUUACCUGCAGGGUGCAUGAAGACCUGACAGCUGGGGUCUGGCUUUCCCCUUAGGCCACAGGAGGAGGAUGAUAGUGUGGAGUUCCCAGAGGAACCAUCGAAAUGUGGAAAUGGCUUCUGUAAUAUAUUAAUAAACAGUUCAAAGCAAUGAAA